CUAUUACUCCUUUCGUCCGAAAAUACUUGUCUUAGAAAUAAAUGUAUCUAAAUGUACUUUAGUUUUUAGAUACAUUCAUUUUUAUUCAUUUAUACGACAAGUAAUUUGGGAGGGAGGGAGUAGAUC
rfam:Hordeum vulgare subsp. vulgare, WGS project CAJW01000000 data, contig: morex_contig_1617078